GGGGAAAAGGCAAAGCCAAAGCUGAUUGGCAUGAGAAAGAGCAUAGCACUUGCUGGGAGGAAAGGAAUUCUACUGUGCAUCUCUUGUUAAUCUCUCAAAGUUUCCUCUCUGGGAAAAUGUUGAAGGGCAGUCUUCACCAGGAGGCUGCCCACCCCAACCAGCUACAAGGCUUGCAGGCUGCAAUAUUAGGAGGACUGAGCAAUUCCAUGUGAAUUGCUGGCCCCAGCUGCGGUUUCUCAUGUUCUGGUGGAGCCAUCAAAGCCACCACGAAGGCUCCAGGGACAUCCUCAGAAGGAUUAGGUCAGAGGCAGCAGGACCACUGCUUUCUUUCCAACAGCGUCUUAGUUUCAGCAGGGACCAAAUUGUUUUCUUCAGUGUGUGAUAUGAUGCUAUGUUAUGGUUCUAGGAGAAAAACAACGUUGAUAACACACCAGUGUUUAUAGCUGCUGCUAAGCAGCGCUGUACAGAGCCAAGGCCAUUUGCAGUGAAGAGCCCAAGGAGCUGGGGGGGAACAGAAUUAGGACAGCUGGCUUAAACUGGCCAAAGGGAUAUUCCAUACCAUAUAAUAUCAUGUGGAAGGAGUUUUACGAGGGAGUGGGAGUUCAUCUCACUCUCCUCUGCUGCUCAGGGGGCUAGCUGGGCAUCUGUUGGUGGGGUAGUGGCAAAAUGCUUGUGCAUCGCUUAUUAUUUACAUUGAUAUUAGCAGAUAGAUAGAUAUAGUUUAUAACUAUUAUCCUUUUUCUUUUAUCUUAGUAAAUAUCUUAUCUUAGUAAAUAGUUUUAUCUCAACCCAUGAAUUCUACACUUUUUUCCUGAUUCUUUCCCCCAUUCCACUGGGAAUUGCCUGCAGCAAAGGACUGUGUGGUGCUCAGC